AAUAUUGGACAUGGGGCGAAAGCGUGAUCCAGCCAUGCCGCGUCAGUGAAGAAGGUCUGCGCAUUGUGAAGCUCUUUAAGUUGGGCGGAAGGGCAGUGCGUUAAUACCUUUCUGUUUUGACUUUACCGUCAGAAUAAGAACCGGCUAACUUCGUGCCAGCAGCCGCGGUCAUACGGAGGGUGCACGCGUUAAUCGGAAUUACUGGGCGUAAAGCGCGCGUAGGUGGUUUGUUAAGUUGGAAGUGGAAGCCCCGGGCUCAACCUGGGAACUGCUUUCAAAACUGGCAAGCUAGAGUAUGGCAGAGGGUGGUGGAAUUUCCUGUGUAGCGGUGAAAUGCGUAGAUAUAGGAAGGAACACCAGUGGCGAAGGCGACCACCUGGGCUAAUACUGACACUGAGGUGCGAAAGCGUGGGGAGCAAAC
rnacentral:rRNA from 1 species